CACCGCCCAUCGGAAGGAGUAUGAGACCGAGGCGGUUCCCUCUGUUUUAUGAAUUUAAUCCAUAACCACCGUCUCUCUGCCCUUUCAUCUUCUCUCUUCCCCAAGUAACAUUUCUCAUACAAAUACUCCUUAUCUUUCUCCUUUCUCAACCAACGCAUUCUCUUAUAUUCUACGUCAACCUUCCUAUGAGCUACAAAUCUAUUUCAACUCAACUUCCUUCCAAAGAUGUCUUCUCCAAAUUUUCCUCGCCUAUUCUUCCAAUUUUUUGAAUGUUUGAUUGUUAGGAUUUUCGCCUUAUAGUUUUCUCCAGCGUCAAUUCAGCUGCUGUUUUUCAUUUCCUUCAUGGAGACUAUGGCGGUGGAGCCCUGGGAUGUGAUGUAUCAUACUGCAAAUCACGGUGAUGAAGCAUCUGUAUCGGAUUGCGAAAGCGGCACUACCCAUAAUGAGCACAUUCAUGGGCUGGUGAGAUUGGAUGAAGAUGAAAAACUGCACCGCAUUAUCGAGAAAGCAUUCGUUUCUGGCUUGGGUCCCCUUCGACAGCACACGUCGGUUGUGGACAUCCAUAGAAAUAGGUACGCCAGUGUUAUCUCCCAAGCCCGGAUGCAAUCGUUUAGGAUUUUCGGGCGCGCGGUGGAGAAGAAGUGUGGGGGCAAUGCUAAUGUGAAAUUCGGGUGGUAUGCUGCAUCGAAGGAUGAGAUUGGUAGAAUCAUCUCUCAUGGUUUUAGCCACAGCAAUGGGUUAUAUGGCUGCGGGGUCUAUCUAUAUCCGCAUCAUUCUUCCAUUGAAAGUAUGAAAUCGUGUGUUGUUGAUGAGGAUGGUCUAAGACAUCUGUUACUUUGCCGAGUAAUUUUGGGGAAAAUGGAGGUCGUGCAUCCAGGGUCUCAACAGUAUCAUCCGAGUUCUGAAGACUUCGAUUCAGGUGUUGACAAUCUUCCAGCUCCUAAGAAGUAUAUUGUGUGGAGCACCCACAUGAAUACCCAUAUUUUGCCAGAAUAUGCUGUAACCUUCAGAGCUCCUCCUUGCUUGAAAGGAUUCCUCAAUACGCAAGGUUCCUUGAAGAAACCAACUUCCCCUUGGAUGCCUUUUACAACUCUAAUAUCUGUGCUUUCCAAGUUCUUACCUCCUCAAUCCGUUAACUUGAUUGCCAAGCAUCACCGUGAUCAUAGAGAGAAUAAGAUCCCACGACAUGAGCUGAUUCGACUAGUGAGACAAAUAGCGGGGGAUAAGUUGCUCACAGUGGUCAUCAAAUCCCAUAGAGCCAAGCAACUUAAUUCAACUAAUGGUUCUCACCAGAGGAAGGCUCAAAAUGGUGCCAGGAAUAGAAUGGACAGCAUUCAGCAACCAGGCAGUAGCAUUGAAUCAAUUUAUCUCGAAUGAGCUCUAGUGUAAAGUUGCAAGUUGCAAUGGCAAAGCGAGAUGAGAAGGCAGAUGGAACCUUAUCUGUAUGGAACUGACAUAUACCAUGAGCUAACUUGAAGCUAACUUGACCACACACCGAUGGGAACAGACGCAACAGAUGCCUGAGGCUUGAGUUUGGAAUAAGAUGUCUCUACUACUAUAUCUAGAGCCAAAUCUUUUUGAAGAUGGAAAUGGCCUGCUGAUUCUAGACAUGCACCAUUCAAAUUCUUUUCUUCUAGACAUUUUCCCGAUGAGUCUAGAAUGUUGGAAGCAGCUAUUUUGUAGUGUUGGUCAUAUUAUCAUACCCAAGCAUUUGCCUUAUGAGCUUCCUCUUCCUUCCUCCCCAAGAAAAUGGAUCUCCAUUAAGCCGAAGGAGACCUGGGAAAAAAAAAAGGGAGAAAAGGCCCCCUAAUUUGGAGAGGAUGGAUUUGUAGUGUUUUUUUUCCCUCUCUUUUCUGCCUUGCAAACAAAGAAAUAUAAACAAUGGCAACUACCCAUAGGUGGAGACCCAGUCAAGCCUUGGGAGGAAAGAAAAAGAAAAAACAAAGAUGGUUAUGGUGUGGAAAUGGCAUACUAUUUACGCGUUGGCUUUUGGCGGCGUUACCAACUUUGGCAUAGACGGCCGAUCACAAAUUGACUAUGUGGAAUGACCAACUACAUUCGCUUUCCAAUUGUUGUGACAUUUCCUUGAACUUGGCCCGGUUAUUUUGUACAGCCCAAUUGUGUAAUAAUGGGCUUAAUUUUCAGGGCUUCUGGAUUGUGGGCAUUGUAAA